UUACGGUCGUAUCACGUUGAAACAUUGGUUCCCGUACGGUCACCGAAGUGAAGAAACGUCGAGCCUGGUUAGUGCCUAGAUGGGUGACUUCUUGGGAAUACCAUGUGCUGUAAG